rnacentral:rRNA from 1 species
CACCGCCGUAAACGAUGAAUACUAGGUGUAGGAGGUAUCGACCCCUUCUGUGCCGUCGCAAACGCAAUANGUAUUCCACCUGGGGAGUACGGCCGCAAGGUUGAAACUCAAAGGAAUUGACGGGGGCCCGCACAAGCAGUGGAGUAUGUGGUUUAAUUCGACGCAACGCGAAGAACCUUACCAGGGCUUGACAUCCUCUGACCGGCUUAGAGAUAAGCCUUCCCUUCGGGGCAGAGAGACAGGUGGUGCAUGGUUGUCGUCAGCUCGUGUCGUGAGAUGUUCGGUUAAGUCCGGCAACGAGCGCAACCCCUAUGGUCUGUUACCAGCAUUGAGUUGGGGACUNANACAAGACUGCCGUUGACAAAACGGAGGAAGGUGGGGACGACGUNAAAUCAUCAUGCCCCUUAUGUCCUGGGCUACACACGUACUACAAUGGCUACAACAGAGGGCAGCGACACCGCNAGGUGAAGCGAAUCCCGAAAUGUAAUCCCANUUCGGAUUGCANGCUGCAACUNGNCUGCAUGAAGUCGGAAUUGCUAGUAAUGGCAGGUCANGCAUACUGCCGUGAAUAC